ACUCCUACGGGAGGCAGCAGUGAGGAAUAUUGGGCAAUGGGUGAGAGCCUGAUCCAGCCAUCCCGCGUGAAGGACGACGGCCCUAUGGGUUGUAAACUUCUUUUGUACAGGGAUAAACCUUUCCACGUGUGGAAAGCUGAAGGUACUGUACGAAUAAGCACCGGCUAACUCCGUGCCAGCAGCCGCGGUAAUACA
rnacentral:rRNA from 1 species